rnacentral:lncRNA from 1 species
GCGAAGCGCCCAGCGUGUCAGGUGAGGGGUCCCUCCGGCGGCCCUGGGGAUUUGACGCCAGGCGAGGGCCCCCUGCGGUGCCAGCCCUGGGCUCAGAGGGAUGGGGCUUCAGGGGCCUGGGUGCUCCAUUUGCGGGGCUGGGCUGUGAGGGACACGGCCCCUGCGGGCAUCCCCAGCUCAGCCGAAUCUCUACCGCCCUGUGGAAGGGAUGGGGGCCUGACCUUGUGGAUUCCGGGUUUUAGGCGAUUGUGGGGAUUCUGGGGCGGUGGGGGGCGGUGCUUUCCUUGCGCUCCACGGGCGGUGGAGGAGGGGCGCGACGUGGGGGCUGGAGGACCCCCAACCAUGGGCCCACUGGACUAUGAACUGGGCGAAGGGCCUGGCCUUCAGGAUUUUAGCAGAGAGAGGGAUGGGAGGCCGCCCCGAGUCUGCAAUGUCCCCAUGCAGGAGGAGCCCUAAAUGGAAGACCUGUCAGUAAGUGGGGAGGAAUGGGGGGUUCCCCCUGUCCCCCCUCCCCAGGAGGCAGGAGGAGGACCCUGGCCCGGGGGCUCAGUUGGUUGCCUUUCCUCUGCAGAGGCCUGGCCUGGCUGCUGCCCCAGCAUGCAGAUGAAUUUCGCCCCCGGCAAACGGAAAUUCAACAAAGUCAGCUUUGUGCAAUUUGCUGACCAUGGCUCUUGGAACCCUAACUUGACCAGGCUGCGCCAGUCAGAAAGAGAAGCCUAUGAGUUCAUUGUGGACUUUCUAGAACAAGAGCAAGAACAAGUGCCCGAGUUGGACAAGCUGAAAUUCCUGAGGGCAGUGUCAAUGCUGAGUGGCGCCGUUCAUGCCCAGGCCGAUGGCACUAUGGAUGAUUUCGUCCCCAAAGCCGUCCUGGCCAAGAAAAUUGAGGUGAGAAAAACCCCUUCACCUGGUCUUUGUGGCAUGGGCACUUGGGGGACGAGGGUGGCAGGUCUCAGCCCCGGGCUGGCAUCACUCUCUGAGGCACCUGUUCCUUCCUGGCCCUUCUAGGCGUUCAUCCUGGAAGAACCCCUGGAGGUCCUGGUCGGCCCCCUGCGUCAGCAAGCCAUGCUCUGCAUUGUGGCCCUCAGGUUCCUGCUCUGCCACUUCUGCUGGGCCCCGGGUCUCUGCUGCCCGGAGCAUCUGGGGUGGGAGGAGGGCACAGCCGGGGACCUGAGGUGGGGGCUGUGGGCGGCAG